GGAGCUGUGGUGCAGAGGGUUAAGUAUGACACUGUGACACUGGAAUCCCAUAUGUGCCCUGGUUUGAAUCCUGGCAGCUCCA
rnacentral:tRNA from 1 species